GAAAUUCGGGUAAUACGAGGGACUGGCAUUCCUUCCGGUCGAAGUCCCUCACUGUUUCUCGAGCUCCAAGCAAACCUCGAUCGCCCCCAUGGAGUCCGCGAAGCCAUGGACGGAGGGCGCGAGGUUGAAGACGAAGGCAGCGUUGCGCCUCUGGUUCGCUGGAUUCGCGGACGCGUGCUGCCUCCACCGAGUCGUCUCCCUCUGCCUCAAGUCGAAGAAGCUUUCGAUCAGGACCGGGCAGUGUUUUCUCUUGAACGGCUUCAUAUUCCUCGGGAGCAUCUUUGUCUUAAAAUCGCUUGUCAUCCCUACACUUCAGUGGAUAUUGCCCGAGAACUGCUCUCAGAUUACUUCUCAAGAUUCUUGUCCUUCUUCCAGUGUUUUGAAUCUCUACUCCUUCCUACGUUUUGGACUCGUACAAUUAUUUUAUGUUUUCUGGUUCUACCCGUUGUACAUAUUUAGCUUCAUUUUGAGCACUAUAUGGUACAGUGACAUAGCUAAACAUGGAUUUGCUGCUUUGGAAGGAUCUCGCUCUAUAUUAGAGCAACCCUCAAGCCAAAAUGAGGCAGUGGCCUCGGAAAGUAAGAUUGAAACAGAAAAACUAGUUGAUCUUGGAGGGGUGAUGAUCGGAAUUGGAGAGCAGGUGUAUUCAAUACUGCUUCUGACCUUCUUCUUCCUAGAGGUUUAUGCUCUAGGAUUUGUUCCCUAUAUUGGAAAGCCGCUUAAUUUUUUGCUGCUCUCCUGGAUGUAUGCUUAUUACUGUUUCGAGUACAAAUGGAACUUUACUGAAGUUAGUCUGGACAAGAGGCUGGACUUUUUUGAAUCCAAUUGGGCAUUCUUUGCUGGCUUUGGAAACCCCUGCGUUCUGGCUAUUUUCUUUUUCUCACCUCUAGUGGGAUAUGGUGUCAUGGCUAUACUUUUUCCACUGUUUGUGUUGACAGCUACCAGCUCAAGGGCUGAGCAAGCUAUAUUUUCUGAAAGAAGAAAGCAGAGAGAUGCUGGAUUCGGAAGGCUUCCAAUAUUUUAUGUAGCCAAUACUUUGUCGAUGUGGGUCUUGGGUCUUUUCUCUUCGGAAUCUCGGGAGCAAGUACGAGAAAAGAAGAUGCACUAGAAAGCUUUGAUCACUGCAGACAUAAUUGUAGCCUGCAAGGUACUUGCUUAUUACCCAUGAACCCUCUCAGCUCUUGCACAGGAGGUCAAGGUAUCGACAAUCAUCUGACGCAUCUGAUGCUAAGAAGUCUGUACAUAUUCAUUACAAAAUCCUGCAGCAUAACAUUUCCAUGAAAGGCAUAUUUGUUAAUGAACCGGGUGGUCCACAACGACGCUGUUGUGUUCGUCUGCUAUUAACAAGUUUGUAAAGCACUCAUCUGUAAAUUCUUGCCGACACGUGAAAUUCCCUGGUGAAGGUCGACAUGUUGACUCUUACUUUUCAUCCUUUGAAUUGUACAUAGCAACAUAUCUUUGUUAAGUUGCAAUAGACUGUACAGCUUUUCUAA